CGAAAAGUUGCUGCUAUUAGGUACAACUAUGAGUACCAUCAAGUCCCAGUUUGGACUGAUUUGAGAGUCUAGUAGAGCCUGGAAACUAAUUAGUAUUACCAGAUCAUAUCCUCAGACAUAUCCGCACAACACUUCCUCUUCCAACACUGACACGAACACUAUGGUGUUGGAAAAUACGAUACAGGGCUUGUGAUGGAAUAAAACCCGAUGGGUGUAUCACCAUGACCCUCAAUGUUCAAACAUAACACGCUGUGGCUUGAGAUCAAGUUUCUUCAGCCUCCGAAAUCUACGCGACUGGCACUUGACAACAAAAUGAUUUCUCAGAGCACGGCAUUCCUGAAGCCAGAAUCGGCGCAAUCCGCCUCGAACCAGACAAGAGAAUCGGGUGCUGUCACAUUCAACCACGACUUCUCCACCACGUUAAACAGAGAAGGGUUAGUUCACAGCUUUUAACCUGUUAUCUACCCGUCAUCUACCCGGCAUCUACCCGUCAUCUACCCGGCAUCUACCUUCCCUAUGGCAAUUGUUAUACCAACACUGUUACUGGUCACCUGUGAAAUCUCUGACAUUUAUUGACUACAUGUCAAUCACGAGCCUUACGGUAGUUUGUUCGACAGCACAACAUGCCCAGACCGCUGAAAAAUGAGAUGUACUAACGCUGUACAGAGAAGGAAGACGGGGUUCGUGAAGGAGUUGUUACCUACAUGUCAUAUCCACGCCGUGUUGUGGUCUGAUCAUGACUAAUGAGACGAUUCGCUCCACACAGGGGUUAGCAUGUGUUCAUUAUGUGAUUAAAUAAAGAAGUCUUACAUCUGCUUCCAGCUAGAAGUAGAUGUAGAACCAAAGUCUGGGUGUUUGACUGCUGCUUCUUCAGUUCGGAAGCUUGGAACGGUUUUCAGCCCAUUUCUUCUGGUACCGUUCGAGAGUGACCAUGCCAUAGACCACCAGAGCCACUAGGCCCAGGAAGAUGAGUAUUCCGCCUGCAAGCUCCAGCAGCGAGUGCUCCUUGGGGUGCUGUGACUUCUCCAGAAUCUGGACAAUGGUGUCCAGACGAGUUUCAAUGGCUGCUAAUCGGGCGUCAAAGUCGGUUUUGUCCAUGUCGGAAGAUGGCAGAGGUGCAGAACUGAGUGGGAGUGAGUUGGAGGAGUGGAAAGAAGGAAGACAAGUUCAGUUGUCGCGUGUGGGUUGCUCGUUGACAGACACACACCUCCCAAUUAAUAGCCGAGAUGUCUCAGACACUGUCGACUAUGAAGCAGGGCACGGCACGACCGAACUUACUCCAACCGAGAAAAGAAGGGGGCAGGAAAGAUGCUGAAUGGGUGGAGGGGUGGAAAACACUCUGCAGUUAUUUCUCGCUCAUUCCGACUCCUUAAUCUAUCCACUUACUUCAAUAAAGGGCCCUCAAACAACCACGAGUGCCACAUGUCUCUCCACUCCUAAGCUCUCAGUACACAGCCCAGCUCGUAUGUUAACUUAAAGGCGGCACUAGACAGAGCAUAGAUAAGACCCGUAGAGACAGUCAUCACGAGGUCACCUGCCCUACCCAUGUCUGCUGUCGAUGCUGAUUGAUGCUGCUAUCGCGUCAUGUGACCGAUUUCGUCAGCUCAGGUUUCUGUAUUGCACUCUCCCUGCGGAUUUGACCAUCCGUUGGUGUCUCAGUCAGUGUACAGCCCCC
rnacentral:misc_RNA from 1 species